rnacentral:rRNA from 1 species
UACAGAUGGGCAAGCGUUUUGCGACAUGAUUGGGUUUACAGCAGUGUGAAAGCGUAUAUUAAUAAUUAUUUAAAGAGAAGGAAUUUUCCAAUUGGUAUUGGUAAAAUAAGCUCAUAUGGGAUAAGGGAACGCCGCAGGCGUAGGCAGUUCUCUUAAAGCAAUAUCUUAGUUGAAACAACGGAAGUCCGAGUAGCGGAAACGG